rnacentral:sRNA from 1 species
ACUUACCGCUGUGCCUCCUCCCAUUGCGCGCGGUAAGUGUUCCCCUCUGAAGGUUUUGCCUUUAAGGCACCUUCAUAAAUUUUAAGCCGGGCUCUUUAGUCCGGCUCUUUUU